UACGUAGGGGGCAAGCGUUGUCCGGAAUCAUUGGGCGUAAAGAGCGUGUAGGCGGCCAGAAAAGUCCGCUGUGAAAACUCGAGGCUCAACUUCGAGCUGUCGGUGGAAACUUUCUGGCUAGAGUCCGGAAGAGGAGAAUGGAAUUCCUGGUGUAGCGGUGAAAUGCGCAGAUAUCAGGAAGAACACCCGUGGCGAAGGCGGUUCUCUUGGCCGAUACUGACGCUGAGGAGCGAAAGCGUGGGGAGCGAACAGG
rnacentral:rRNA from 1 species